GACGAACGCUGGCGGCGUGCUUAACACAUGCGAGUCGAACGGAAAGGCCCUGCUUGCAGGGUACUCGAGUGGCGAACGGGUGAGUAACACGUGGGUGAUCUGCCCUGCACUUCGGGAUAAGCCUGGGAAACUGGGUCUAAUACCGGAUAGGAGCCAUUUUUAGUGUGAUGGUUGGAAAGUUUUUUCGGUGUAGGAUGAGCUCGCGGCCUAUCAGCUUGUUGGUGGGGUAAUGGCCUACCAAGGCGGCGACGGGUAGCCGGCCUGAGAGGGUGGACGGCCACCUUGGGACUGAGGGGCGGCCCAGACUCCUACGGGAGGCAGCAGUGGGGAAGACUGAACGAUGGGCGCCAGCCUGAUGCAGCGACGCCGCGGGGGGGAUGACGGCCUUCGGGUUGUAAACUACUUUCGCUAGGGACGAAGCUUUUUGUGACGGUACCUAGAUAAGAAGCACCGGCUAACUACGUG
rnacentral:rRNA from 1 species